rnacentral:lncRNA from 1 species
GGUCUCUGAACUCUGCUCUGCACUGCCCCCACCCAAGGGUCAGAAGCCGAAAUGGGGGCAAGUCCUUUCCGGUGUCUGACUCACACCCUCCUUGCUGCCCCACGGCCCUGCGGCCCGGCCCCUACCUCCUCAUACAGUCGCCGCAGGAAGUCGAUCUCCUGGACCGGGGCCUCCGCGUUGGUCUCCAGGUCUGAUUUGUGCAGGUGGCUGGAAGGACCUGGUGAGCGUCCCCAUGCUGGCGCCUGUGCAGACGGAAGUCCGAGAGGUGAGGAACAACGGCCUCGUUCACGCCAGCACUUCCCACCUGUUGCCGGCCCGAGGAUGCAGCCAGCCUCUGGCAGUCACGUACUGUCAUCCACCCGCAUUCACGGAGUGCCUUCUCUCUGCCACACACAGGGCAGGAGGCAGGAGGCCCAUGGCCAGAUGGGAGUUACCCUGGAUGGGGAGAAGACUGCCCUGCUUGAAGCGGGAGAGUACUCUGAGGUCUGGGGCAGCUCAGGGAGCACUGCGGCAUUUGGGGAAAGGAAUAGGGAAGAGGUGGUGCUGUGUGACUCUGGGGGAGUCCCUCAGCCUCUCUGAAUUACAGAGAGCUCCCUCCUGCUUCUGCCCUCAGUUCUGAGGUGUGGGACAAGGAUUCUGGGGUCACUUAUCUUCUUCAGAGCCACAAAUUCAUUCUCAGUGGUGGCCUUUAGUGCCACCUCCUCUUCAUACCUG